rnacentral:rRNA from 1 species
CUCGUAGGCGGUCUGUCGCGUCGGAUGUGAAAACCCAGGGCUCAACCCUGGGCCUGCAUUCGAUACGGGCAGACUAGAGUUCGGUAGGGGAGACUGGAAUUCCUGGUGUAGCGGUGAAAUGCGCAGAUAUCAGGAGGAACACCGGUGGCGAAGGCGGGUCUCUGGGCCGAAACUGACGCUGAGGAGCGAAAGCGUGGGGAGCAAACA